AUUGAACGCUGGCGGCAUGCCUUACACAUGCAAGUCGAACGGUAACAGGUCUUCGGAUGCUGACGAGUGGCGAACGGGUGAGUAAUACAUCGGAACGUGCCUAGCAGUGGGGGAUAACUACUCGAAAGAGUGGCUAAUACCGCAUGAGAUCUACGGAUGAAGGCAGGGGAUCGCAAGGCCUUGUGCUACUAGAGCGGCCGAUGGCAGAUUAGGUAGUUGGUGGGAUAAAAGCUUACCAAGCCGACGAUCUGUAGCUGGUCUGAGAGGACGAACAGCCACACUGGGACUGAGAAACGGCCCAGACUCCUACGGGAGGCAGCAGUGGGGAAUUUUGGACAAUGGGCGCAAGACUGAUCCAGCAAUGCCGCGUGCAGGAUGAAGGCCUUCGGGUUGUCAACUGCUUUUGUACGGAACGAAAAGCCCUGGGUUAAUACCCUGGGGUCAUGACGGUACCGUAAGAAUAAGCACCGGCUAACUACGUGCCAUCCGCCGCCGUAAAAC
rnacentral:rRNA from 1 species